UCCAAUAGCGUAUAUUAAAGUUGUUGCAGUUAAAAAGCUCGUAGUUGAACCUUGGGCCUGGCUGGCCGGUCCGCCUCACCGCGUGUACUGGUCCGGCCGGGCCUUUCCUUCUGGGGAGCCGCAUGCCCUUCACUGGGCGUGUCGGGGAACCAGGACUUUUACUUUGAAAAAAUUAGAGUGUUCAAAGCAGGCCUUUGCUCGAAUACAUUAGCAUGGAAUAAUAGAAUAGGACGUGCGGUUCUAUUUUGUUGGUUUCUAGGACCGCCGUAAUGAUUAAUAGGGAUAGUCGGGGGCAUCAGUAUUCAAUUGUCAGAGGUGAAAUUCUUGGAUUUAUUGAAGACUAACUACUGCGAAAGCAUUUGCCAAGGAUGUUUUCAUUAAUCAGUGAACGAAAGUUAGGGGAUCGAAGAUGAUCAGAUA
rnacentral:rRNA from 13 species